GACGAACCGUACGAACGUUAUUCGGAAUUACUGGGCUUAAAGGGCGCGUAGGCGGUCUUGCAAGUCCUGUGUGAAAUCCCUCGGCUCAACUGAGGAACUGCACAGGAAACUGCUUGGCUUGAGUUCGGGAGAGGGAAGCGGAAUUCCGGGUGUAGCGGUGAAAUGCGUAGAUAUCCGGAGGAACACCGGUGGCGAAGGCGGCUUCCUGGACCGACACUGACGCUGAGGCGCGAAAGCUAGGGGAGCAAACGGG
rnacentral:rRNA from 1 species